rnacentral:rRNA from 1 species
AAUAGAUACCCGGGUAGUCCACGCCCUAAACGAUGUCAACUGGUUGUUGGGGAUUUACUUCCUCAGUAACGAAGCUAACGCGUGAAGUUGACCGCCUGGGGAGUACGGCCGCAAGGUUAAAACUCAAAGGAAUUGACGGGGACCCGCACAAGCGGUGGAUGAUGUGGUUUAAUUCGAUGCAACGCGAAAAACCUUACCCACCUUUGACAUGGUCGGAAUCCUGCAGAGACGCAGGAGUGCUCGCAAGAGAGCCGACACACAGGUGCUGCAUGGCUGUCGUCAGCUCGUGUCGUGAGAUGUUGGGUUAAGUCCCGCAACGAGCGCAACCCUUGCCAUCAGUUGCUACGAAAGGGCACUCUGAUGGGACUGCCGGUGACAAACCGGAGGAAGGUGGGGAUGACGUCAAGUCCUCAUGGCCCUUAUAGGUGGGGCUACACACGUCAUACAAUGGCUGGUACAAAGGGUUGCCAACCCGGCGAGGGGGGAGCCAAUCCCACAAAGCCAGUCGUAGUCCGGAUUGCAGGCUGCAACUCG